CCAUCACGGCAUUGGGGCCAGUGCUGCUUCGGAGGACCGAAAUGUGUCCUGAUACGCAGAUGAAUUCCCAGCUCGCUGCCGCAUUUGUUACGCAGGCAAUAAGGAGCGGCUAACCCUGAAGAGGGAAUGGUGCAUUGUCCAUGGAUUGCAAGACCCAAGGUUGGGGCUUGUGGGGGUCAACGUUUCAAAAUUGCCCCGAAUAUCCUCCAGAACGACUUGACAAGAAGCGUAUGAAAAAAGAGGAAACUUUUGAUGGAAUAAAGAGCUGGAACUCAACAACUCCG
rnacentral:sRNA from 2 species